GAAAUCACAAAUUUCUACCCAACGAGCGCUCCGCAUCACCGGCACGUCCUAAAACAUACAAUAAAACACAAUGAGACUCGAGUACGAGUCAUAAAUCGAAUCUACAUACUACUAGAGUAAGACCAAAUAGAACAUAUAAGUGCAAAAUCAAGCUAGGACAUGUGCGGAAAUGAAGUUUAGGUUGGAAAACAAAAGGCAGAUUUGACGUUGCUUAGCGGAACUAACACAACUGAAGCUACACUUGUCAGAUUGAGGUGUAAUUUACACCGUUUUGAAGCUAAG
rnacentral:lncRNA from 1 species